AGUCUACCUAUGGGGUGGAGGCGAUAUACAGAACUGUGCUUCUGUAUCAUAAGCCAGACUAAUUUGGAACGCACGAUCAGAAAAUGGGCCGUCAGUUGGUGUGACGGUAAAAAGUUCAGGCAGCCAGUGCAAGAGUGCAGGUUCGAGUCCUGAGAGCGGCCACUUUGUGCAUAAGCCAAAGAUGAAGUACAUGACUUUAUGCAUGGAGAAAGAGAUUACGGCAUUACUGCACUGAAAAUGAGACCAUGCUCAAGAAUGACAUGGAGGAGAAAGAGAGCCGAAAUUCAACCACUCAUUGUAUGAAAG